ensembl:lncRNA
CUCUCUCUCUCUCUCGCGCCUCUCUCUCCCUCGUGCCUCUCUCUCACUCGCGCCUCUCUCUCCCACCAGCCUCUCUCUCUCCCUCGCGCCUCUCUCUCCCACCAGCCUCUCUCUCUCCCACCAGCCUCUCUCUCCCUCGCGCCUCUCUCUCCCUCACGCCUCUCUCUCUCCCUCGCUCCUCUUCAAGCUGCUAGAAAUAACAAGGUCAUGUCUCUACUUCCCUUCAGAAGUCCUCUUCCUGUGUCUUUACAGGAUGUUGAUAAUAGCAGAUGUUCUGUAUAAGACAAUAACUAUAUAUUACGAUGAUAAAGAGCUUAAGGACAUAAAAUGGCGGACAGAGAUGAGACAGUUGAUCAGAAAAACAGAAUCGUCACCAGGAGUAAGCUGCUGAUAAUUCCAAGUUGUAUUUAUUAUGUUAUAUGAAAAAUAGACAUGUAAUAUAUAGGACAGAGUUAUCUUUGCUCGUUCCUUCUUUCUCUGACCCGGUAGAAUCCAUUUGAGAACAAAUAUGCCCUUAGCUUUAACACAACUACUCAUCUGUAAUAUUUUGGAACAGUUUUUUUUUUUUAAUUUUAAAUACAGGUUUUCAAUUUACUCCAUUAACAUGUAAUUAUAAAUGUAUUCACAACAUGGCACUAUAUGGAAACAUCAAGCCCGACUGACCACUCAGAAGUGACUGGCAUAAUCACUGUUACAUGUAUCUUUAGUUAGCUAGUGAUGUUAUUCUCAUUGGUUUUGUAUUGUAGCUUUACCUCACACCCCGAUGACUUGUCUUCUAUAGAUGGACAUGUUGGUUACCUUGGUUACGGGUCAGUGGAGGCUGGUGGGUGGAGAUGUAGUUAAAUUGACAGGCUCAGUCGUCACGCGUUUUCAUACCGCUCCGUUUUAUCCCAUUCCAGCUGUUAACAAUGUGAGCCCGUCCUCCGAUAUCUCCCGCUCCCACCAGCCUCCAGUGCUCCAGGUGAGGUGUCGUCGUUAGCUACAAAGCUAUCUCUUUGUUUGUCUGUGUUCUCACACCUGGUCUGUGUUUUGCGUCUAGUACAGGACGAGUUUGGAUGAUGUCAUCUCUCACAGGGGUCAGGGGUCAGGGGUCAGUUUGAAUGUGAAAGGUCAGUUCACCAGAUCACACACUAUGAUACUUGUUUUUUUCACAAACAUGAAAAUCGAAGCUGAUAUAUUCAUUUGAAGAGAAAUUGAUCCAAAAGGUUAAAGAAAACUGCAACACAGAAUCUUCAGCUCUAUCAACUUGUUAUGUCCCAGAUCACCUGGGGUUGCUCCUACAAACAAAACGUAGCAGCUUUUAGUCUCCAUUCUAUCCCUGCUACGGGAAUAACUAGAGCUCCGUUGUGUCUGAACUGACAGAACAGUAGUCUAGAGUAAUGUGAUGUAUGUCCAGUGUCUGGUGCAUCUGAUGUCCUCAGCAGCCCAGUGUCUUUAUCACCCUGCCGUGUGUCUAUAGAUUCUAUGUUGUGAUUUAUAACAACAUGACAUAGGGGUUUAGUGCCAACUGUCUAUAGAUUCUAUGUUGUGAUUUAUAACAACUGUCUAUAGAUUCUAUGUUGUGAUUUAUAACAACUGUCUAUAGAUUCUAUGUUGUGAUUUAUAACAACAUGACAUAGGAGUUUAAAGCCAACUGUCUAUAGAUU